rnacentral:rRNA from 1 species
GAUGAACGCUAGCGGCAGGCCUAAUACAUGCAAGUCGAACGGUAACAGGUGUAGCAAUACAUGCUGACGAGUGGCAGACGGGUGAGGAACACGUACACAACUUCCCUCUUACCGGGGCACAACUCAGAGAAAUCUGGGCUAAUUCCCCGUAAUAUCACGAUGUGGCAUCACAUUGAGAUUAAAACUCCGGUGGUAAGCGAUGGGUGUGCGUCUGAUUAGCAGUUGGUGAGGUAACGGCUCACCAAGGCAACGAUCAGUAACUGGUGUGAGAGCACGACCAGUCAC